rnacentral:rRNA from 1 species
AUACGUAGGGGGCGAGCGUUGUCCGGAAUGAUUGGGCGUAAAGGGCGCGUAGGCGGCCCGGUAAGUCUGGAGUGAAAGUCCUGUUUUUAAGAUGGGAAUUGCUUUGGAUACUGUCGGGCUUGAGUGCAGGAGAGGUAAGUGGAAUUCCCAGUGUAGCGGUGAAAUGCGUAGAGAUUGGGAGGAACACCAGUGGCGAAGGCGACUUACUGGACUGUAACUGACGCUGAGGCGCGAAAGUGGGGGGAGCAAACAGGAUUAGAUACCCUGGUAGUCCACACUGUAAACGAUGAAUGCUAGGUGUAGGGGGUAUCGACCCCUUCUGUGCCGCAGUCAACACAAUAAGCAUUCCGCCUGGGGAGUACGGCCGCAAGGUUGAAACUCAAAUGAAUUGACGGGG